GUAACCUCCCCGGCUUACCGACUCGGCAUGAGAACGUUGAUAUCGUGGUGAUAAGGGAGAACACGGAGGGUGAGUAUGCUGGACUCGAGCACGAGGUCGUACCUGGUGUGGUUGAAAGCCUCAAGGUGAUAACAAAGUUCUGUUCUGAGCGCAUUGCAAAAUAUGCAUUUGAGUAUGCAUAUCUUAACAACAGAAAGAAAGUCACAGCUGUGCA
rnacentral:misc_RNA from 1 species